rnacentral:misc_RNA from 1 species
GAGCCGUGACAUCGAAAACGGUUCGUAGCUUUCGAACUGAGUCCGAUACUUAGGGCGUUCGAUGAUUACGGUACUCUGCUCCGGUCCGGUCAGAAACUUGAUAAGAAUAACGUUACGCUUGAAUUGUUUAGUUUUGGACUGUGUUUAGUUUGUGUAAGUGAGGACUUAUUGUGGACGACGUCGCAGUACCGACGCAUCGAUUUAGGUACGUUCAGCGGAACACACGCGGUCUGCCGCUAGGAAAUUGAUAUUAAAAUUUAUUUAAAUGUACUGAAAUCAGCGAACUCUAUCAAUUAAUAUACAGGUCAACGCCGCGAAGUUCUCCUUCAAUGCAUAAUUACUUACUGGGGAAACACUUGAUACCUCUUAACACUCACAUAAAAUAACAACUCUAUCUUAAUUAUAUAUUAGCUUAUUACGAAAUAAAGUAACUUAAUUAAAACAUUGCUAGUCAGACUUCUUGUUCUAAUAGUUGUUAAUUAGAAGUGUGUUAGGUGAAGGUAUAGAGGGUAGUUAGAC